AACUCCCCAUUUCAUUUCGUUUGCUUCCGUUUAAGAAACUUCUUGCAACAGAAUUGGUGUAAUGAAUACGGCCGUGGCAAGCUGUUUAUUAUGUCGAUUAUGUUGCAAAUCGUUUUGCAACUGUUUGGACUAAUGAUUACACCCCUGGCACGUCUGAUUUAAAUAACAGUCAAUAGCGUUGUUAAUGCGUGAGCUUGGCAGACUGUAGAAACUAAGAGGAAGGCUGGCUGCAACGGUUUACAGUGUAAAAUCUGUCAUUUUUCUCUGCUGAGUCUAGUCAUUAUCUCGUUGACUGUGCGAGGAUUUAUCAAUGACAGUACAUUUACGUGCUGGUCGCAGUGGCGGUUUCACCCUUGGUGCUCUGAUCCUCCUCCCCUCUUCAGUAUCAAUUUGAACCGACUAAUAUCAUUCUUCGAAGAGAGCAAUAUUGGAAAGAUGGGAAGCACGAGCUCUUGCUGUGUGUCUUCGAGCCCGAAGCUCCGGAGAAAUGCCCAUUCGAGGCUGGAGUCGCACAACCCGGAGCCGGAGUUGAGUAGGGAGGAUACGGGCUGCAACCUGCAGCAUAUCAGCGACCGAGAGAAUGUCGACGAGUUGAACAUGGAGUACAACCCCUCUGACCAUCCUCGGGCCAGCACUAUAUUCCUCAGUAAAUCUCAGCCGGAUGUGGAGUUGCCUAGCAAGAAUGUGCGGGAAAAAAGAAAGAGCCUCUUCAUCAAUCAUUUAACACACAUUGACGAGUCAAAGCAUGGAUCAAGGAGACGAAAACACAGCUCCUGUUCCACCAUCUUCCUAGAUGACAACACUGUCAGUCAGCCCAACCUUAAAUUCACCAUCAAAUGUGUAUCCCUUGCAAUAUAUUACCAUAUAAAGAACCGGUACACAGAUGGAGGAAUGCAGCAAGACAUUUUUGACGAGAAGCUUCACCCUCUCUCGAAAUCCGAAGUGCCGUCUGACUAUGACAAACACAACCCAGAGCAGAAGCAGAUCUACCGCUUCGUCCGGACGCUGUUCAGCGCUGCUCAGCUCACUGCAGAAUGUGCCAUUGUUACACUGGUGUACGUUGAGAGGCUGCUGACGUAUGCAGACAUAGACAUUGGCCCAGGGAACUGGAAGCGUAUGUUGCUGGGAGCCAUUCUGCUGGCAUCUAAAGUCUGGGACGAUCAGGCUGUGUGGAACGUAGACUACUGCCAGAUCCUCAAAGACAUCACCGUGGAGGACAUGUGCGUUAAUCAAUCAAUAUAUGGAACAUGGACUACUGUCAGAUCCUCAGACAUUUGUGAACGAGCUGGAGCGUCAGUUUCUGGAGCUUCUUCAGUUCAACAUCAACGUUCCCUCUAGUGUUUAUGCCAAGUACUACUUUGACCUUCGCUCACUGUCAGAGACCAACAACCUGAGCUUCCCUCUGGAGCCCCUGAGCCAGGACAAAGCCCAGCGACUAGAGGCGAUCUCGAGGUUGUGUGACGACAAGUACAAAGAUGCCAGGAGAGCUGGCAAGAAGCGCUCUGCGAGCGUGGACAACCUGGUCGGAGUGCGAUGGGUCCCUGCCAUCCUCUCCUAACAACCAGGAACAUAGACCAGACCUGAGACAGGGCCUCUGGCCAGCAUGGGGACAACCAGUCUUUUACCUAGCAAAAUUCUAGUAACUUUCCAAAAAAUCCCAGAUUUUCUAGAAAUCCUGCUUGGAAGAUUCCCGGAAUCAGCAGGACAUCUAGAAUCCUCCGAUCUGGAUUUCUGGAAAACCUGAGAAUUUGAGGAAAGUUAUCGGAAUUCUGCUCCCCUAACUUAGACAGACCUUAGACUUUGUCCUCAUCACAGAUAGAUGCCUUUGCAGUGCCGCUGCUCCUGUAACACAGAAGGAAGAACUCUCUACAGGACUGGUACUUCACUAACUGUUAAGAAAAAGAAAGCUUCUUUGUGAUAUAACAUAAAGAUUUGACUGUUUGGAGAGCUCAUGACAUCAUAGCUUCCUGUUGACAGAAGUAGCCAGAUGAUCACCGCGGCAACAUGAGCUUUAUGCAUUGAAGCAGCAAACCAAGAUAGAAGUGGUCAGAAAACAAAAUGUCAAUGUCAUUUGACCUCUUACCCUGGAUCAUGCCAAACGAAAAGGGACUGAAACGAGGCGGGACGACCUGAAAUUGUCCAAUAAGAAACGUGUGUUUUCGUUGCCGUUGCAAAACGCUUUGCUACAGUGUCCACUAAUGAAUACGACCAUGGGUCUGGACUAUCCAACCUGGCAUGACAGGACAGAUGGUUGCCUUUAAAGACGGUUCUGUGGCUUUUGGUGAACAGGUUUUUAUUUAUUUUGUAUUCGUAGUUGUUUUUACUACUAAGUGCUACAGCCAACCAAACCCAGGUACAAUAUUUGAUCAGAUAAAAUAGCCUUCUAGCUGUGCAGGCGUUUCUACUUGAUCUACAUACACAUUCCAGAAUCAUUUAGUUCUUAACGAACACAAUUAUUUUGUAAAUGUUCAAACAAGUUGGCUAUAAUUAAAACCUUUCCACUAGUGUACAGUUACUGUGCCUCCCAAUACCUAGAAUGUUGUAUUCAAAUCUGAAAGCUUUUGGAGAUAUGUGAGUGAUUUUUAGCUACUGUGAAUGUGUCAUCCACAGGAUUCAAAGUAGGUUAUGUUGACAAGAAAGCAACCAAUGAAAGGAUAGAAAUGGGUUGUCAUACUUGAUACACUGUAGAGCAUGACUUGUGUUUUUUGUCUCAGAACCCUGGAUGUUUUAAGCUACAAUGUUUUUUUUUAAGAACAAAAACCUGAACCCUGAGCCAACUUAUAUAUAACAUGGCUAAUUCAAACUUUAUACAGAUUCGUUUAGUCUUUUAAGCAAUUAUUUUUGAUUCAAAUAUUAUUGUUAAAUUCCUGAUGGUCAACUUUUAUUUGUGUUUUAUCAUUUGUCAAGAAGACCCCUGACAACUGAAGCACUAGAAUUUAAUUAUUUUGCUAAUCAACUUUCUACAGUGUGUAAACAAGUAUUAAAGUGAUGAGAUCAUUAACAUAAUUGAUAAAUAUUUAUAUUGAGGUGUUGAUCCAUGUUUAUACUAAAAGAAAAUUCCCUUGUUCCCUUAUUUUGUGUUUUUUUGUACAUUUAAACAGGCUACAAAUAAAUCUCAGAGGAUAACACAUUAGUGUUAAAAACACUUAUUUCCGA